rnacentral:lncRNA from 1 species
GACUUGGGCAGCAACUUCUUCUCCGGAGCACUGCCAGCGUCCCUUGCUCAGCUCGCAUCCACGCUGCAAACGCUGGAUCUGUCAGGUUACAGAUUCGAAGGACCGUUUCCAUCGGUUAUUGGAAAACUUACCAGCUUGAGGAAGCUCAUCCUGGAAAGAGCUGAUGCGUCUGCCGGCAGCAUUCCUUCGUUCCUCGCCAACCUCGAGAAUCUCACCAUCUUAAAUCUCCAAGGAAGCUGGUUCACGGGCUCCAUUCCUUCGUCCUUGAGUAAACUCAAAAAUCUUCAAACGCUCGAUCUCUCGGACGGCCUCCGGCUCACAGGGUCCAUACCGGCGUUUCUCGGCGGCCUUCAAAACCUGGAGUAUCUCGACUUGAGUGGUACCAAGUUUUCUGGUUCCAUUCCUCCAUCUCUCGGCAACCUCCCCAAGCUGCGUUUCCUGGACAUUUCCAACACGCUCGUCAGCAGCAGUAUACCUGUUAAGAUUGGAAAGCUUACCAGCUUGGAAACGCUGAGAAUCUCCGGCACCAAAGCCGCUGGACGAAUCCCCGACACGCUUGGGAACCUGAAGAAGCUCAAAGUGUUGGAGCUGUCUCAAAAUGCAGGUAUGCGUGGUCCCAUCCCCAGCUCCUUCGGCCAGCUCUCUUCCCUGGAAGAGCUUUCGGUCUCCAGCACUGGGCUUACGGGACAAAUACCGAGCUCUCUCGGCCAACUUAGCAGACUUGUCAAACUCGACGUUAUGUCCAACUCAUUGAGCGGCAGCAUUCCUGAAUCUCUGGGACUUCUUUCCAGUCUUGAAGUCUUUUGGGCCUCCGAAAACCUGCUGACCGGUCGAGUUCCAGAAGGAUUUGCUCGAGGCCUCAAGAAUCUCACAGUCCUCGAGCUUUCGAUGAACAACCUCACUGGACUUCCCACCAACAUGGCCAAGCUCGUCAACUUGAACGGUGUCUACUUGGACAACAACGAUAUCAGAAGCUUUGACGCGAUCUCUGGACUGGCAACACUCCCGGAGCUCUCAACCAUCUCUCUCAGUCGCUGCAAACUCCAAGGACCGAUACCUUCCUGGUUUGCAAACAUCAACCUCAAGCAACAGCCCCUGGGAUCUUCGUGUCUCAUCGACCUCUCCUUCAACUCCAUCACCGGAACUAUACCCGCUGCUCUCGGAAGGAACUCCAACCUCACAAAUCUCUUCCUCCAAUUCAACAAGCUCCAAGGAAAACUCCCAGACAGCUUUGGAGAAACUCUCCCCAGGCUGACUAACUCGGACUUUAGCUCCAACUUUCUCACCGGAGUACCAGCGGACCUGUCCAACUUGGGAAAAGGAGUGCUCUACUCGCUUGGACUGGGUCACAACAAUCUCAGCUUUCAGGCUCUCGAGGGACUGACCACACUCUCCCAAGUCUCCUUCCUCACUCUCGACCAUUCCCACCUCACAGGAGCCAUCCCGAGCUGGUUCUCCAAGAUCCCAAUGACCCAAGACGAAAUCGACAGCGUCGCAGUACUGAGGCUGAGCUCCAACAGCAUCACUGGAAGGAUCCCACCGGAAAUCGCCCAGCUGACCCAAGUCACGGGCCUCUAUCUGGACAGGAACCGCUUGAGCGGCGGCAUUCCAGUGGAGUUCCUGGCGCUCAAGAACCUGCACUACUUGAAUGUCUCCCACAACCAGCUCACUGGCGCCAUACCCGAUGGAGCGCCGCUCAGCACCAUGGAUCCGGAGAACUUCGCCGGCAAUCCGGGGCUCUGCGGCAAGCCGCUCUCGCCAUGCAUCAAGCCCUAAAUGCGUGGAAUAUCCUCAAAUUUGAAAUUUUAGGGCAAACAUGCUCUCCAAAUUAGCCAGUCAACCAGGAAAAAAAAAAUAAAAAAAAUAAAAAAAUUCAACCAGGGAGAUGGUACUUCUAACUCUUCCCAAUUAACCAAUGUGUCACCAACCUGACAGCUCAACCAAGAAAGUGUAGAAGCAUUGGACAGGGCUUCAUCAACCCCCUAGCAUUGAUCUUGUAUGCAUGCAGCUGCAAAAGGUGGCACAACUUAUAGAAGCCUCAGGGAAAGAGUCCCAGCAUGGAAAAGAAGUGAUGCCAGCAUCAAACUCUCACUUUGACAAUUAUAGAACUCUUGGAGCCACUUGAUUUCCCCAGCCGGCCACAAGAAACCCCGUGGUGAAGGCAUUAAGGGGCUAGAGCACACUGUAGCCCCAAAUGCCGCACAAGGGGAUUCCCCAAACACGAAGAAAACAAUGCCAGCAGCUCUCACACGUGAUGACUCAACUCAAGGCACUUGCACAGGAUGUUGAAAGUCUCAAGCCAACUCCGCUCACACUGGCAACUCACAAUGCAACUUUUAAAUAGACUUCUAAAGAUCACUGUUAAAUGUCAAUAAACACCGAUGUGUCACAAACAAUAACUAAUAUACUUAUCCCUUUUGAUCCUUUCAUGUAUGAAAUAGAGCAAAGCAUUUGUUAUGGCAUGGUUUAAGAUCAUUUGCAAGUAUCCCAUGUUGUCAUUGUAAGCUGUCAUUAGUCCAUGGAUCUCAAAACCAAUGUCCCAAUAAAAUCUUCACAUUCACAAUAAUUCCUUGACUGCCUCAGUGACAACAUGGUACUUAACCUCACAAAUGGAAAGUCCACUUGACUUGUGCAAUUGCGUCCGUAUAACGCAAUCAUGUUUUCCACUCUCAUGGCCAUUUCUGUUCCCGUCCAUCCAUUGGUCGGUUUUCCACACCCCAACUCCAAUUGCCCGAUCCCAAAUCUCUCCCCAGGCAUCAUUAGAAAAGAUCUUCUACACCACUUAUCACAUACCUCCAAACUUUAUACCACGAGUUUUAUUGUUUCCUGACCUUGGGCAGCCUGGUAAUGAAGCUCUAUGCCAAGAACAAACAAUGUAUACAAUCACCCAAUAAUACAGCUUGGGCAUGACUAACAGUUAACAAAGGUAAAUACGGAAAAAUUCUUUGUGUUUACUUGCCAGACCGUGCCAAAACGUUAUCAGGCGGGCACUCAUUCAAAACGGUGGAUAAUCGUAAAGUUCUCUCCUUGUGGAUAGCUUUAGAGUUUCCCAAAAGUAGGGUGAGCCAGCUGACAACCGUUUACUUUGUACUUUUGUUUGCAGACAAACACUACGUAUCCUUCACGAAAAUAUGAUACAAAACUGAAGUUCUUACUACGUUUUCAAGAAAAUUUCGGAUGCAACGUAAGGGCCAGAACUGGAAACCUGUUGAUCAUCGAUGACUGUUUUAGCAGCCUGUGAGCCUUGAACAGGAUCACCGCUAGCAUUACAAGCCCCGAGAAGGAUCGUCCACGCAAAACUAUCAGCCUUGUAAGGCAUACUCUCAACAAGCACCCGAGCAUUCCUAGAGUCUCCAGAUCGCCCAACAGUGUCGAUCAUACAUCGGUAGUGUUCCAGCUCCACGCAAACUCCAUGAUCCGCCACCAUCGACAGAAAAACGCUUCUACUCGUUGCCAGCGACCCAGAGUGACUGCAAGUGCCGAGAACAAUGCUAAAAGUCACUUGAUCCGGAUCAAAGCCCUCCAGGAUCAUAAAAGGCAGUAAAACGGUCCCAUGCCCAACCUGGGCAUAACAUUGGAUCAUCGCAUUCCAAGUUACCAGGUUCCGUACGGGUGCCGAGUCAAAGAGUUCCUUCGCAACUGCGUGACCCUUGUUCUGCCCGUACACCUGGAUCAAGUAAGUCCAAGCUACCACGUCGCGAUUUGGCAUGGAGUCAAACACCCACUUUGCCUCGCCAUAGUAACCAUUCUGCGCAUAUACCUGUACCAUGGUAGUCCAAGCGACCCUGUCUCGGCUUGUCAUUCUGUGAAAGAAUCUCACGGCCUCGUCUACGUAGCCAAGCAAAGAAUAUGCCUGGAUCAUAAUGGUCCACGAGAUUUCGUCACGAUCGACUAUGGAAUCAAACACCUGUCUCGCAUGCUCAAUCUGCCCACAUUGGGCAUAUGCUGCUACCAUGGUAUUCCACGUCACAAGGUUUUUAACCGGCGCCAUGUCAAAAGUGUAUCUUGCUUUUGGUAAAUUUCCGUUUUGUGCAUAGCCCGCCACCAUGGUAGUCCAUGUUACAACGUUCCUUUGAGGUAUCAUUUUGAAGAGAGUCUCAGCUUCUUCCAUAUGCCCUGAUUGGGCAUACGCAGUUAUUACAACGUUCCAAGACACUGCGUUCCGCUGUGGCAUUCUUUCAAACAUUAGCCUGGCCAUAUCUAAGAAACCACUCUCGGAAUAUGCCUUGACCAUGGUUGUCCACGUUACCACGUCCCGCUGGACCAUACCAUCAAAGACACGCUUCGUAUAAAAAAGAUGCCCAUUUGCGGCAUAUGCUGCAAGAAGGAUGUUCCAGGAGUGGAGAUUCGGCGCAUAGAUGGAAUCGAAGACGGCCUUGGCGUCAUGGAGGCUGCCACAUUUUGCGUACAUGUCGACAAGAUGGUUUUUAAGGAAAAGGCUAGUUGACGAGCGCGAACUCUUGAGAAUGGCGAGAUGGGCGCGCUUGGCCUGUGACAGAUCGGUGGCAGAUCGAGCGAGGGCAGCCAACUCCGCGUCGGAGAAGUACCCCAUUCCCGGGCUUGCCGCGCCAUCGCCACUUUAAGACAUGAAAAGGAAGAACCCUAAAUUAACGGCUUGUGUCCCAGAGCCAUGACAUCAAAAGAUUUGCGUCGCCUGAGAGAUUCGAACUCUCGCGGGGAAACCCCAUGUACUUAGCAGGCACACGCCUUAACCACUCGGCCAAAGCGACAAUACGCUUGAGUAGACCACUAAAAAAAUACAAGUACUUUCAUCAUGAACGAAGUCCAAAACGGUGGCUGACACCGACAGCAAUUAAGAACUCCCCAUCUCUGUAGAUAAGAUCAGUACAAAGAAGUACCUACGAAACAACAAGCGACUUUACCUCGCCACUGUUCCAUGGUUUUAGUCGCAAUGUCUAGAACAAGCACGUCUUUCCUCGUUGUUUUGACAGUUUCACUGCUCGCCCACCACACCACCGCGGCGUCCUGCAACAGUGAAGAUGAAAAGGCACUGCUGGCUUUCAAGGACGCCGACCAAGAUCGAAGCAAGCUACUUACCACUUGGAGCCGGCAAUCCAGUUGCUGCGAAUGGUCUGGUAUCAAAUGCGAUGGAGCUAGCGGCCGGGUGAGCGAGCUCAAGCUGGAGUCCCUGGGAUUAACAGGUACGCUGUCUCCGGAGCUGGGAAGCCUCUCCCACCUCCGUACGCUCAACGUCCACGGCAAUAGCAUGGACGGUUCGAUACCUUCCACCUUCGGUAAGCUACUUCGGCUGGAGGUUCUCGACUUGGGCAGCAACUUCUUCUCCGGAGCACUGCCAGCGUCGCUUGCUCAGCUCGCAUCCACGCUGCGAACGCUGGAUCUGUCAGGUUACAGAUUCGAAGGACCGUUUCCAUCGGUUAUUGGAAAACUUACCAGCUUGAGGAAGCUCAUCCUGGAAAGAGCUGAUGCGUCUGCCGGCAGCAUUCCUUCGUUCCUCGCCAACCUCAAGAAUCUCACUGUCUUAAAUCUCCAAGGAAGCUGGUUCACGGGCUCCAUUCCUUCGUCCUUGAGUAAACUGAAAAAUCUUCAAAC